rnacentral:lncRNA from 1 species
AAAAGGGAUUGUGCACCAGAAAACUAAAGUAGUGAUUGGUUUGCAUUUUCAUUUUCCAUUUUCAUUUUCAAAACGAUUUUUUGUUUUUCUCGAAAACGGCCCGUUUUGAACGUUUUGAGCGUUUUCGACAUUUAUAACUGAAAACGAUAAAAAGUCGUUUUGCAUUUUUAGUUACAAAUUUUAACUCGUUUCCAAAAAUGCGUUUUUGAAAACGACGGACCAAACGCGUUUUCAGCGUUUUCGAAAACGGAAAACGAAAAAUGAGCCAAAAACGGCAAACCAACCACAGCCUAAACUUUCAAGUGACCGAUUGUGAGAAUGAAUUCCUAACUAAGCUUUCAAGUGACCGAUUGUGAGAAUGAAUUCCUUGAAUCUAUCAUUCCCAAAAGUAUCAAUUACGCUUUUUUAUCAAUACAAUGAAGAAAUCAUGCAUAGGCUUUCCAAAGACGAUUUCUAAAGCUAAAGAUAUAACCAUGUAGAUAGUAUGCUUUCCAAAGAUAAAGAUAAUAACCAUGUAGAUAGAUCAAAUAUGGUCGACGUGCUUGAUAUUUGAUUGCCAAAAUUAACAUUACGAUAAUAAACAGAGAAUUGACAGUGGGAAG